CUGGAAGCUCUGCAGACAGCCCACGCCACCCAGGCGCUGGCCGCUCUCCCUCAGGAACAGACUGUUGCCGUGGCUGCUCAUCGUGUCUCUGCCAGGACAGAAGAGACCAUGUCUGCCUCCUCCUUCACUGAGAUCAUCUCAAGGAAUUGGAAAGUACCGCAGCUGUCAAACCAAAGGACCAUGCCUUUGCUGAAUGCUGAUUGCAUGAAGAGCUAAUGAAAGGGCCCCUAUAGGCUAGUCCUCCUAGCCACAAUAGUUGAGCCUCCGGUCUGAAGACGCCCAUAGUCGACUUUUCACAGGGACAAAUUCAGCAAGCGCCUGGUACUUUCGUGCUACAGUGGCAACGGUGAGUUGCUGAAAUAGAGAUCAGAAAACAAACUAUUUACCAAAGUGGCUAUGACUUUACAAAAGUGGGGGCAGAGAGGACAAGACGGCUUGUUGGGUAAAGAGGAUUGUUGCCAAGCUGGAUGGCCUCAAUUCA